UUUUUCUUCCAUGAAAAGGAAUAAACCUGUUUUUAACCGAAUGUGAAAUGUCUCAAUUGAUGACUUGGUCAUAUCUGAUGCAGCCCCAGGCUUACAGAUCCUGUAAUCUUUUUCCCCUCUUUCAGACAGCAAAGACCAAUGGAGACAUCUUCCCACCCUUUUCCUUGUGUGCUGACUAAUUCAAUCCUUUGUUUGCUUCUCGUAGACGUCACUUUGUCAGCCCUGUGAAAAGACAGCACCAUAAGCACCAUUCAGAAUGUCUGAAUUCUGCUCUGACGUGAUUCUCUCAAGGCCUUACCUUGUCCUAUGGCCUCCACCCCACAAGCCUGCUGAUUCGUGUCUGUGCCGGCUUGCUGUAUGGGGGACGGUGGAAUGAAUGAGGGACAUGGAGUACAGAGAAAAAAUGGCUGCAUGUGGAGGGAAGUAAGACGUAAAGUGCAAGUGACAUGACCUGAUAGAUUUAGCACAAUCCAGCACGUAUGAUUUAUUUGUCUCAUGGAAAAAUAGACCCUUAGAGACAAAUCACGUGCCUAAGUAGAAUGCUGUGCAUUGUGUCAAGGAUGCAUCUGCUCCAGCAAUCUUUCCUGAUAACAAAUAUUUGUGAUUUUCAAAAUGGAGAAUGAGCUAAAGUUAUUUGAGACUAAGGUGGGAAUUCCAAUAGACAAAUGGAUAAAAAUGAAGGCUUGUUUUCUUAACCUUUUGCCCUGCAUCAUUAUACUUCUCAAUGGGGACUCUAACAUUCCAAGUUAAAACAGGGUGGUCUCGCUGUUUAAAGGGGUAGUUCACCCAAAAAUGAAAAUUCUGUCUGCAUUUACUCAAUGUUGUUCCAAAACCUCUAUGAUUUGUUUUUAUUGUGGAACACAGAAGGAGAAGUUAUUUCACUGGAUCACUGGAAGUGAAUGGUGACUGAGGCUAACAUUCUGCCUAACAUAACCUUUACUGUAUGUUCCACCAAAGAAAGGAAGUUGUACAGAAAGACAACUGUCCCUUUCAUUGUAAAAACUUAGAGGUUUCAGGUUGGAAUACUGCAGAUUUCCUGAAUUCCUACAUCAAGUUGUUUGGAGCAACACUGCGCAUAGGAAUAUCCAGCAUGUCUUGUUGAAGAUUUGAGAAAUUAAAGGCAUUCUGUACAUUUAAGAGAGUUUGAGAGAGGGACUGAUAAAGGACAUCAUCAUUGGACAUUAAGGGGAUUGUUUGGCCCACCUUAACUUGUAUCGUAAAUAAUUAAAUUUAGGUCAUAUUAUUUGAAUAUUCACCAUAUUUGCAUUCAAAUAUACUCGAGGCCUGGCAUUUUCUUUCCAGACAGUUCUCAAAGUGAAAUAAUAAAAAAAAAAAAGUACAUUGACUUAAGCUAAAAUCGAUCUUUGCUUACCAAAAUUCGAAACGCUGUCCCCUGUGGCCAGAACUAUGUGGUGUUGGGCAUAUUGGCAUGUGUGAGCUCUAUUUUCCUGGUGUAAUGUCCACAAAUGGGUGCCAAAAGCAAGUUGUGAAGCAAGUUGUUUUCAGCUAUAAAGGCUUUAAUACUGUGAACAGGAAUGCAUAUUUUAUAAACCGUACCCCAAACAUAAACCUAACCAUCGGUGGAGUAAAAAUGUAAUGAGGAAAAAAUGCAACCUCAAAAUCGUGCUCUUUGCUGAUUAUACAAACACGAUUACUUCAUGGUUUCAACACGGGAUCUGAAUCUGGGUUUCCCAUCCUGAUGAUGCAACAUGCUUCCUGUUGCUGCACAAGGGGAUAGACGAUGCAAAAAAUGUCUGAUAGGAGAUGCCGCUUGUCAGUGAGUUGGCAAAAUGUGGCCGAUCCACACUCUGAAACAACUUGCUGACUUCAUGUGGGAUCAUGUCUUUAAUGUAUUACAGAUUUGCUGGUCUCAUUUAGAAACACCCAAAAAUAUAUUAUGGGAUAGCGACGCUUAUUAAAGACAAUUUAGAGUUUGCCGAACAGUGGAUCUAAUUAUGGUCUAAAUAUACUUUUCUGAAGUUCUCGCACUGUACAAAAUUUAGUUGGAGUCAGACAAACUCCAAUAUAAAGUUAAAAUAUCAAAUGGAAAAAAAGUUGAGAUCAUAUACCCCAUGAUCGGAACGAGAUCAAAUUGAAGUUCACAGCUUUAACACUUCUGUGUACAAAUUUGAAGGCUUCUUAUUGGAUCAAUACAAGAGAACGUCAUAAUAUGCGACUACGCAUUACUUUACGGAGCGCUUAUGACCUGCUAGUUAAGUCUUGCCUUAAGAACAGGUGGUGCAACCAAAUUAAGCACUGACUUAGUUACAAACUAACUAGUAGUUACUAAGCCCUUAGUGUGAACUUUACAUCCCAACUUACGUGAGAACUUGCACACAGCUGGUGCAACCCUACCCUGGAGAGUGUUUAGUGUUCCCUGUCUUAGUAUAUUAAAAUUGUUCAUGUUUACAGUGGCAACCGUUUACACUGCAUUUUAACUGUUUGGUACUCAAGUGGGACUGACACAAUUUCUUUAGGGGAAAUUAAGGUCUUCCAAACAAAGAAUAUCUUACUCCAAACAUUUUAGGUCAGCUGAACUUUCAAAAUGUAAUCUACAUGUAAAAAAAAAAAAAAAAAAACAAAACGUAAAA